GCUUAAAUGUUUUUUUUUUUAUUUAUUCUGAUAUGUAAUCCUUAUUUGACAAAUGUGCCUCGUCAUAUUGCAUGUUCUAAUUUAUGGAACACGUCAGUCUCUGUUGUGGCCGUUGCUAGAGCGACCAAGCCCCCUUCAAAUUUUAUACCGACGUCCUGCGUGAGAAGACCAUGUUGCAGACAGUGAACAGUGGGGGAUUUACUGGGUUUGAGGAAGAAUGACUCUAAGGAUGAAAGAAAGAAAAGGAGGGGCUGCGGAGGAUGGGAAAAUGUCAAAAGGUUUGAUUUUUGGCUCUGUAAGGAGCCUAAUCCAAUUAUGAGACAAAUGAACUAUCAAAUCUGGAACAUGCAAUGGACGUUUAGACCUCUGACUUUUCGCCAGAAAAGGAUCGUUAUGGGCAAAACACGAUUUGACCUCUGACCCUCGCAGGGCUGCAGUUCUAAUUCCUUCCUCCUGAUCCCUAAACAACACUGGGUCAGUUGUGACCCCCUCGGGGUAAAGAUGACCAACUGGACAUGAAACUUUGGCUACCAUGACUGCGUGGGUCUGGACGGAGAACGCCAACGCUUCACCAUAAGAUGUUCUGGUUUGCAUGAGUAAAAGUAAAUAUAAAUGAAUCACGGAAAACAAAAUGUAGCUAUAUAAACCAGAGGAUCAUCUACAAGCAGAGGGGAAGAAAAAAAACACAACAAAGACGGUUUACAUGAGCUGCUGAAAAUAAGACAGAAGUAAGACUCUUUUUGUUUGGUUUCAGGGGUCGUAAUGAGAUCCUGACAGAACUGUUUAUCCGUUCGCACCUGGCUUGGAAGCAGAGAAAUGGGUCUGGGAGGCAGAUGUUCAAUGACCCAAACGCUUUUUGUGUGUGUCUGUGUGUGUGUGUGUGUGUGUUUGCUUUUGGUUGAGCAUAAAUGUGAGCAUUUAACAAAGAUCCCUCGCUAUAUUGAUAUUGUGAUAUUGUGUCUUUCGUCGACUAAAGAACGUCUGCCUUCUGCGUUCUGUAAUGGAGGUUUAGUUUUUUUUUUGUGUUCUCUCUUCAGUGUGUGUCUCAAUGCAAAUAAACAAAAUAACCUGCAGCA